UACGAAGGGGGCUAGCGUUGCUCGGAAUGACUGGGCGUAAAGGGCGCGUAGGCGGUUUGUACAGUCAGAUGUGAAAUUCCUGGGCUCAACCUGGGGGCUGCAUUUGAUACGUAUGGACUGGAGUGAGGAAGAGGGUCGUGGAAUUCCCAGUGUAGAGGUGAAAUUCGUAGAUAUUGGGAAGAACACCGGUGGCGAAGGCGGCGACCUGGUCCUUUACUGACGCUGAGGCGCGAAAGCCAGGGGAGCAAACGGG
rnacentral:rRNA from 1 species